CAGGCCUAACACAUGCAAGUGGAGCGGUAAGGUUCUUUGGGGAGAACACGAGCGGCGAACGGGUGAGUAACACGUGAGCAAUCUGCCCUUCACACGGGGAUAAUUCCCGGGAAACCGGUGUUAAUACCCGAUACGACCACUCCAGGCAUCUGGUGGUGGUGGAAAGUUCCGCCGGUGAAGGAGGAGCUCGCGCCCUAUCAGCUUGUUGGUGGGGUAACGGCCCACCAAGGCAACGACGGGUACCCGGCCUGAGAGGGUGACCGGCCACACUGGGACUGAGACACGGCCCAGACUCCUACGGGAGGCAGCAGUGGGGAAUAUUGGACAAUGGGCGAAAGCCUGAUCCAGCAACGCCGCGUGAGGGAUGACGGCCUUCGGGUUGUAAACCUCUUUCACCUAUGACGAAGCGCAAGUGACGGUAUUAGGAGAAGAAGCACCGUCCAACUACGUGCCAGCAGCCGCGGUAAU
rnacentral:rRNA from 1 species